UGGGGAAUAUUGGACAAUGGGGGCAACCCUGAUCCAGCAAUGCCGCGUGUGUGAAGAAGGUCUUCGGAUUGUAAAGCACUUUCGACGGGGACGAUGAUGACGGUACCCGUAGAAGAAGCCCCGGCUAACUUCGUGCCAGCAGCCGCGGUAAUACGAAGGGGGCUAGCGUUGCUCGGAAUGACUGGGCGUAAAGGGCGUGUAGGCGGUUUACACAGUCAGAUGUGAAAUCCCCGGGCUUAACCUGGGAGCUGCAUUUGAUACGUGUAGACUAGAGUGUGAGAGAGGGUUGUGGAAUUCCCAGUGUAGAGGUGAAAUUCGUAGAUAUUGGGAAGAACACCGGUGGCGAAGGCGGCAACCUGGCUCAUGACUGACGCUGAGGCGCGAAAGCGUGGGGAGCAAACAGGAUUAGAUACCCUGGUAGUCCACGCUGUAAACGACGUGUGCUAGAUGUUGGGUAACUUUGUUAUUCAGUGUCGCAGUUAACGCGUUAAGCACACCGCCUGGGGAGUACGGCCGCAAGGUUG
rnacentral:rRNA from 1 species